AAAGGGACUAGACAUGCUAGAUAUUUUGCAAAGAAAUGGUGUUAUAUGCUGGACCUUAUUUUACUCUUGGCAGGUGGUGAUAUGCUGGUUCCCGAGAAGAGAUGAACUAAUCAAAGUCAGCUUUUCAAGACAGCCCCAAGACUCUUCGCAACUUGUGUUCAAAUGUGAGGCCGUUGUCAGGUGAUAAAUGCAAGGAAGAGGCACUCAACUGACAUGAAACAUGUCAAAGACAACAUGAAGGUGACAUUUCAACAUAGGCAAAAAGUGGUUCAAGAACCUGCCAUAGCUUCUACUGUCCUGGACCUUUUCCCAAGAUUUCUGGAUACACCUGGCUUGAUUGACCAAGACUUCACAAUGCUGUUUUUUGGGGAGGAAGUGUCUGGUAAGUUCCUUGCAAAGUGGCCAACAUUCUUCAAGCCAAGGAUCAUCAAAGAUUGCAAAAAUCUGUCCCAGAGUACAGAAUUGGAUGAGCUGCUCAUUUCUGCACAGCGUUACUCUAACGAGGCUGUUUGGGACUGCGAGGCGGCUGCCCUCUUUUGCUGCUUCACUUCACUCCAUCAUCUAAGGGAAGGACGUCUUCAAAGAUUAGCACAUCAGAUGCUGCUCACCACCUAAUGAAAUUCAUCAAGGUGGGAGGUAGCACAGAGGCUUUUCUUAAGGCUGGCCCCACUCAGCCAUUCGUCCUGUGGGUUGGAGAAAGAAAGAACAUCAUCCAAAGUUUCUACCCAAAGUUUCUACAUUGUCCUAGAUCAAAAGGUCAUUCCCUGUGUGACACAGAUGGGAGAUGCAGGUUUUGACAAGGCAAAACUUUUCAAGGCACAUUUUUUAAUUUGCCGUGUCCUUUGAUAAGGCAUUGGACAACUUCUACACAUUCAUCCAGACCAUCAAGUGUAUGGCAUUGAUGUUGGCAGCGUGAAGGACAGUCCUCGGGUCAAUGAAACAAGAGGAAGUCUUCACUGUACGGUUUAAAGAUAUCCACUAUUCAGCACUUUGACUGGAAAUGUUCAUCUGUUACAUUUGCAAGAUACACCACACAAGUUGCUCAGUGUUAUUUAGACAUUUGAAGUUCCAGCAUGGUUUGUACCCAGGAAAGUUUUUACGUUUGACCUGUGGAGAGCCUGGAUGUUCAUUUAUCUUUCACACGUACUCUGGUUACAAGCGGCACUUAUUCCGAGCACAUGGAGACUGCGUUCACUCUGAGGUCAUCAACAAUUUUGAGCCUGUACCUAACGAUGGAACCUCUGUUUCACAGCCUGUAAAUGUGGCUCAUCCCAUGACAAUAACUACACCGGUUCCAGUUGAAAAAAGGCAAAUACUGAACAUGUGCAGCUCUGUUAUUGCUCAAGUACAAUCAUCAGGAGUUCCUGAAAGUACUGUACAGUGUUUAGUUGGUUCAUUGGAGGAACUGGUUAAUGACAUCCAUGCACAUGCAAAACAAUCUGUUGUCGACUGUUUGUCAACUGAUACAUCAAGAGAAACCUUAGAAAAA